rnacentral:lncRNA from 1 species
AAACANGAUGUGAACCCUUGUCUUGAAAUUCUUUACCUUGAGUUGGGAUGAGCUUAACUGUAUGUGAUGAAAAGGUUCAAGUUUGGGGUUGCAUGGGGGAAAUUGGAAAGCUUUUAAGAAGCAUUGAGCUCAAUUGCUGAAAAAGAAAAAUGCAUGUGAAAAAGAAAAAAUAAGAAAAAGCAUGAAGAUGAGUGAUGGGUGUCGCAACCCAUACAAAUUUGAUUGCAUAUGAGAAAUGCAGUAUAGCUAGGGAAUGACUCCUAGGUCGUCUCUCAAGGACCAAAUGUGGUUCGAGAAUUAGGUCAAACAUGAAGUGGGGGGGGUUGUGAAAGGUAUUUCUGUGAAUGCAAUUAGACUAAAUUAAAACACGCGAAUAAAACCUAACUAAGAAUCAAAACGGUCGAAUACUCAACUAACAUUACGACUAAAUUAUCACAACUAAACGUGCUAGACAACAUCAAGGUAAGCGGAAACAAUAAACCGAACAGUCCUAUCAAUUAAAGUAGGGAUCAAUCAAUGUAAACUAGCCAACUAAUUAAAUCAUGCUUAAAGGAAAUGGAUGAGUUAACAAUAAAAAUAAUUAAGACCGAACACAUUCUAACUAAAGCAAGGAAACAUAAACUUGGGUGAUAAAAUAAAGAGUUGCACAUGUGGAAAAGAACCGAACAAGCGUACGUGAAAUUCCUAGUUGCAACUACAAUAGCUAAGUAACAUGAAAAUGUGCAUGUUUCUAAAAGCAAAUUAAAUUCCUAAUAAACAUCCAUCACAGACCGUGACCAUUCCUAAACCGUGACACCACCUAAAAGAUCAACUCCUACUCUAUUCCAGCAUGAAGGUCGUAGGCCUCUUCCCCAAUUAAUUCAUCCCCCGUCACAUCACUUCAACCAGAAUACAAAUGAGUGUGUGACAGUAACAUUCCCAAAUAAAAUCAAAACACCGAAUAAAAAAAAAAUUGAAAGCAGCGUGAAGAUUAAAAGCAGUGUCACAGAGCUUCUUUCUUAAAACAAAAUAAAAUCCUCUUCUAAAUGAAAUAGCGUGCAGCUCCAAAAGUAAAUCACACUGUUUCUCUUGCUUAAUUCAAAAUGAAAAAUGCUUAACGUAAGAAAGAAAAAUGUGCUUCCUAAAGGAAUGAUAUGAAUCCUGUGUGCUUCCAGUGAAAACAACGUGCAAAGCAAUGGUGGUUGGCUGCACCUUCCAGCCCUUCACCCGUAGCCUUCCAUACGUGACCAGCAGUGUGCUUCCCCCCAAAAGAAAAUUUUUUAAGUGUAUCUGGUACUAGGUAUCAAUCCCGAGAUAACACCCUAAUUCCCUGCUGCCUGGACCGUGAUGAUGUGGAUUUUUUACUGCUGCUGUUUGCACCUCCCAAACCCAAAUGAUUCAGCAGCUAGAUGCGCGUGUGCGUGGCAGCAGCACUCCUUCAUGUGCUAGACAUUUCAGCACAAGACCAUGAUGCGUAAUGAAGGCCUGUUGGAUUUUCUUUCUGCACCGGAGCUGCUACAACGUGUGAUUGGGUGGCAGCUGGACGUCUUAAGCCUCAAGCUAGACGUGCUGCAACGUGAAGCUGGACGUUGCAGGCCGAGAAUGCUCAUUCAAAUCUGGAUCCUCCUACAUGAUGGAAGUUAGACCAGGUUGUGAUGUUAAUUGAAGCAGGCUGGUCUGGAUGUGAUAUUUAAUGUGGGCCGAGAGGUGUUGCUAUCAAGCAGGGAGGUGCGUGACUUCAUUAACAUUGCAACGUGUUGCUGGAUCAAAGCUGCUGUCCAUGAAGAAAAAAUUUGUUGCCGGGCCAUGUGUUGUAGCUGUGUAUGAUGUGGGCGUGAGGCUAUGAUAAUGAAUGGGGUGCGUGAAGAAGGCUGGGAGCUUAAAUGAAGAUGCAUCUCAUUCAAUCUGUUGGACCGAGAAGCUUCCUCGUGUGCUUGAGUGGCAGCUGGACGGUGGAGAAUUCCUUUUGUGAUUAUACUUCCAGCAUUCAUACCCAUAUUGAACGUGCAGCUUGCACAUGGGCUGUGAUUCUCCAAUUCCUCCAAAUUUUAAUUGCCAUCCACACCCCUCGAUUACUAAAUCCACACCUUCUCACUCACUUAAGUUCAUUAUAACCUUUAGAUGUCCCAAGUUGUAUUUCCAAAAUUUUCCCUGAAAAUAAUAAUGCAAAUAAUUAGCUCAGAAUAUUCAAAUUAAUUAAAAUUAGAAUUUCCAGUCAAAAUAAGCACAAUUAGGAAAAAUGGGAAAAUAUCGGACAAUUAAGCUCAAUUCCCUGAUUAAAUUCGGUGCAAUAAACUAAGUGAAAUCAAUAAAAUAUCGACUCAUCAAUGAGCUCAAUGAAAAAGAAAAAGGAAAAAAGUUGGGAAUGAGUGAGAUUGGUGAGGAAGAGAGUUGUGCUUAAAUGUUGAAUACUAUGAUAGCUCUCUUGACUCAAGGAUUUUGCAUUCUAGAAAAAAACAAUUCUUCUUGUUAGCCCAACCUCAUUACAAGCCUUGGAAAAGUCCUUUUGAUGGCAUUUGCAUGUAAAGAUGUUGAUUGUUUGAGAUGAAUGGCAAUUUUAUUUCUUGUGACUUGUGAAUGAUAGAGAGUUGGAGUGUCACCUAAACACUUGAGUGAUUGAGUGAAACACUUGCUUGGUAUGGAUUGUUAAUUUUCAUGAGUGCAUUUUUGCUUAGUGGAUUGGUCAUUCAUAAUGUGUAACAUUUGUUAUGCAAUCUCUGGAUUGAAAGCAUGCAUGCAUCUUAAUUUGAUUUCAUUAAAGUUUUGAGAUUGAGUAGUGUUUGUCNUGUACUUUAGGAGUGUUGAAUAUUUGGAUGAAAUAGUAUAAAGCCAAGCUCUGUUUUGUUUACUGUUUUGUUUUGUUUGCUUGAGGACAAGCAAAGUUCUAAGUUUGGGGUGGUGAUGAAGGUUGAAAAACAGUUAUUUUCAUAUGUCAUUUUAGACCAAAUUACUCCCUUUACUGCUUAGAAUGAGCUUAGAAUCAAGCAAAACUCAAUAAAUGAGUCUGUAGAGAGUCAAAAGCUAUUUUUAGCGAUAUUAUGCUU